CAACUUUCAGCAACGGAUCUCUUGGCUCUCGCAUCGAUGAAGAACGCAGCGAAUCGCGAUAUGUAAUGUGAAUUGCAGAUUUCCAGUGAACCAUCGAAUUUUUGAACGCACCUUGCGCUCUCUGGUAUUCCGGAGAGCAUGCCUGUUUGAGUGUCA
rnacentral:rRNA from 1 species